rnacentral:lncRNA from 1 species
GAGGAUGGGACGCCGGUUCGGCCGCGGGCGUUCGUUCGGCGUGCGAAGACCGGCGGCCGAAUCCCCGUCGACUGGCCGCCCCCUCGCCUAUAAAUAGCAGGCCACAAGCUCCGUCGAAGGGGGUGGUGAGCUUGGAGAUCUUUCACUGAGAGACAUCGAGAAAGAUCGAAGGGCGAGCGCAGGAGAGAACUCGAGUUGCGAGCUCAGCCCGCCCUCCACCGAGAGACUUCGGGGAAGGCCGGCAGCAAGCAACUUCGAGAAGGUCAGAUCCGGCCGGUGGAGGCUCGGAUCUGGCCUGAGUGAGAGAAAAUCGAGGCCGAGGAAGAUCUGGCCGAGAUCUGCGCCUCAGAUCUGGAAUUUUUUAGCUGCUGUUGUUGCCGCCGGACGCCGUGCCGCCACCGUUUGCCCCGACCAAGUCCCAACGCCGCUUCGAAGGCUGGUUGUUGUGCCACCCCGCGAAGCCGUAGCCAUCCCCGACGUCGCAGCACCAGAUCUCUGCCAAAACCGAGAGACCACCGUCGCUGCCCUGUCACCUCCACCGUUUGUUGCCUCGUCGAGCUGUUGCUGUGAACAGGUAAUAGUAGCCACCGCCUGUCGCUCCUUCGCCGUCGCACCCACCUCUCUCGAACCCCAUCUACCGCCGAAUCUCAGUCUCAGCAGGUUGGAGCCUCCCCCCCCGCGUAUUCUGUCGCUGUGCCGUAGGUCCCAUCGUCGAUCCAGUCAAGUGGCCGGCUGCAGGCUGCUAUGUCGCCGUCGCCGGACGCUGGGCUGCCGCUCGAUUGCCCCCCCAAACCCUCCAAUCAGCGCCGCAGGUAGACGGAAGGAGAGAGGGUCGCGAAACCGGGCUGAGCCCGGGACGGGCGCGUGACCCGGUGCUCUAGGGUUUCGGCGGUGGGAGCCGGGUCGUGAGGUCGGGUCGAAUCCGGGUAGGGUUUCUAGGACCGGGUCGCGGCUUGUAAUCCGGGUCGGCAGCUGAAGGACGGGUCGGGCGUGGGUUUGAACCGGGUAGGGUUCCGUCUGGGCCAGGUUGUGCGCAUGGGCCGGGUAGUCUUUGGGCCGAGUUUCUUUUAAAGGGUCAAAGUGAGUUUGGGCUUUUAGGUUUUACACUUAAAAGAAAAAAAGACAAAAAAAAUCCGAGUCGGGCCCGCAACGCGUUUGGGUCGCCGACCCUGGGUCGGACCUAACCCGUGGAUCCGACCCGGGUCGGUUUUAUUUUGUAAUUUUAAUAUAAAAUAAUUCUAAUAAAUAUUUUAUUUUUAAAAAAAAAUCAAUCAAAAAGUGUUUUAUUUUCAAAAAAUAUAUAUUAAAAAAUGUUUUAAUUUCCAGAAAAUCGAAAAAUAUUUAAAAAAUGUCGAAAAAUGUUUUAUUUUCUAAAUAAUCGAGAAAAAUCAAAAAUAAUUUAUUUUCCAAAAAUAUUUCGAAAAAUAUUAAAAAAUAUUUUAUUUUCCAAAAAAAAUGCCAAAAAUCCAAAAAAAAAAGCCAAAAAUUCAUAAAAAAAGCCAAAAAUUCAUAAAAAGCCAAAAAGACUUGUAUUUUUCCAAAAAAUACCAAAAAACCCCAAAAAAAUCCCUUUUGUGUCCAAAAAAUUAGAAAAUGACUCAAAAAUGUUUUUCCUCCCAAAAAUGCAUGAAAAAUCCCUCGAACAUCCAAAAAACCUCAAGGUUUAAACAAGAUUAGGUACCGAAAGGGCAUUAGUGAUUAACUAAUGUAAUCAAGUCCCCGAUCCUAAUUUUUCUGGUUGCGCAGGAGUGAGUAUUUCUCCCGAUACUUCACUUGGGUUUCUAAUCAACCCACCCCAAAUCGAUUAGUGGCGACUCCAUUUUAAAAAUUGAUUUACAGGUUAAAAUCUCAGACCAUUAAGUCGUGAAUUGGUAGACUUGGGAGAGUCCGGGCUUAAUAAAUUCAGCCGAGCCAUUAGCCUCUUUAGGCGCUCGUACCCGAUUGCGGGCGCCGGAAAAAAAGAGGUCGCGACAGCUUGGCGACUCCGCUGGGGACAUUUGAUGACUUAGGCCAUUUUAUCUUGUUUAAACCCUUUACUGACUUGUUUUUUUUUCUUUUGUGCAGGGUAGUAGGUUAAAGUUUUUUUAUUUUGUUAAAAUAAAAUGUUUUUUUGUGAUUAUAAACUGCUGUGCAUCCUUAAAUGUUUUAGCGCUACACAUGGCACACACAACCCGGCCGCCGGACCUGGGCCGCCAUAGGAUUUCUAGGAUGGUGUUAAGAAAGAUACGACCUCGAACGCGAGACUGCGAUGUAGAGGUUGCCUUUCUUUUCCCCGAAUUUCUUAGCCGAGGUUAAUGGGGUAUGCUGCUAACGCGAGACUGCGACGGGCGGAUACCCUUUUAAUUUCAUCAAGCCUUCUGAGUUAGAAAUCGAGCCGCACAUCCCAUCUGUAUGUCUUUAUGCUUGCCAUUUUAUUUAAAAGCAAAGUAAUUUCUUUACUUUUACUCAGUCUUUUCUGGCUCAUGGCAAAAUAGGGUCAGGUUGUGUAUUUCCCUUUCUUAUAUGCGAUGGGAAGAUUUGAUAUCCAGUUCAUUCCUACCCCAAAGGGAGAGCUUCUCAGAUGGUGGAAGCAGUUAGAUCAACUCAGCCAAGAGUGCGUCAAAACAAGAAUUGGUCAUCUCCUCCCAUUGCUCCAAAUCAAUAUCCACUCUGGGGUCAUGCAAGCAAUACCGCAUUUCUGGUGCCCUGAAGCAUCCACCUUCAUGUUCGGCAAAUUUGAACUGACUCCGACUUUAGAAGAGUAUAGUCUCGCCAUAGGAAUGCCCUUGGGAAGCGAGCUUGCCACGCCACCAAUCGGCAUUGACCCUGUGGUUAGUCUAUCGCGGUUUCUAAAAAAUCAUUCGGUAAGAGAAAUUGUUCAAGCCAACAACAAUGCUUUUCCGCUAUCAUAUUUAGCUGAAUGCUUUGAAAAACAAUCAAUGACCCAAAAAGCCAAGAUCUUCCUCUUAGCAUUCUUUGGUUUUAUUAUCUUUCCCCAUCGAAAGAAUGCUAUAAAUCCUUCAAUCACAUGGGUGAUAAAUCAAAUCAUUUUUGGAGCAGGAUAUGUGAACAUGGUUUUAGCCGAAACGUUUUUAUCCCUUAAUCGUUUUAAAGAAAAAAAAAGAAAAAAUCAUGAGGGCCGCCCCAGAAAUUUUACAAAUGUGGUUCUUUUCCCAUAUCAAAGGAUUUGGGCACCUCAUGCAAAUAUUUGAAAUCAAUGAAUUCAAGCACCCAUUGCAAAAGUUUCAAAGCUUGGAAAAAUACUCUCCCAACGAGGAAUAUUCUCGAUGGAUUAACUUGUUGAGAAACCCUGUCCCCGAGACAUUCCUAUGGCGAGCUAAGUGGUUCAUGGCAACAGAGGUGCGCUUUGCGCUUAAUUAUUACAACCCGAUCCCAUUGCUGGGCCUCUCCGGAGCCACCUCAUAUUAUCCAUAUAGGGUGGCUCGUCAGUAUAGGGUCCUCCAAGAAAUCCCGCCACCGCUCAAAUCAGGAUUGUUCCGAAUCCUUUUCACCCGUACAGACUACAACUACUUGGAGGAGAUCCGUAUAAUUCAGAAUGCAUGGAGUAGAUGUCACCCUGAAAAGAUUGUCAUACCCAGAAGGUUGAAGGGGCAAGAAAAAGCUCAUCAUGCAUCCACAUUCUACAUCCUUAACCAUAUAAUUCCUGAUGAGCUGCAACCAUUAAUCCCUGAUGUGGUUGAUAAACUUACCCUGCAAGGGCGAAUUGAAUCUCUUGAAAAGAGUUUGGAGACAAGCAAGAGGCACGUAUCUAAGCUAGUACGAAGGAGCAAGCAGCUUCACAAGACUGGAACUUCCCAUCGCAUAUAAAAAUGGGCAGCGGGACUUUUGAUGUGAAUAUUUCUGAUGUGAAUAUCUAGGGUCGUUCUGACUUGUGUAAAAAGCCCUUUUGGCAUUGUAUAAAUCUCCUGUAAAUAAAUAAGAAUGACUCGACCCUUGCCAUGAGCCAGUUUUCCAUGUGUUUCCCUCAUUUACGUUUUCUCCAUUUCUGUGCUGACAGGUAAUCACAUCAUAGUCGUAUUCGCCAAAUCCAAAAGCUAGAAUGGCUGAAGAAAAUGUACUAAGCCGUGUCGAGAUUAUGGAAAGUGAAAUGAAGCAAGUCUUCAAUGUGCUUCAACAACUCUCAAAGCAAAUAGAUUCCAUCCAAGGCAAAUUAGCUCCCGCCCCAGCCUCAAUCGAAGUAUUGUUACCGCAAUCAUCUAUCCGAGGUGAUCAAGGAAGAGAUACCGAUGAUAACAUACCCGAAUUGGAGGAUGAUACGCACCAAAUCAUAGUUAAGAAAGCAAAGCCCAAUAGUUUGUCUAAGACUGAACAUGACAAACGCCUUGAGAAGCUUGAAGAGAGGCUAAAACAAUUGCAGGGCCUCCAAGAUCCUACUCCAGCAAACCUCUCCAUCUACUCUAAGGUCAAAAUGCCGGAAAAAUUCAAAAUGCCUGAGUUUGAGAAAUACGAUGGCACGACUUGCCCAAGGGCUCAUUUGCAAAUGUACUUGGUUCGAAUGACCCAGUACAUUAAUAAUGUGCCUUUAAUGAUCCAGUUGUUCCAGUCGAGUCUAGUAGGUCCUGCCCUGAGAUGGUACAUCACAAAAAAUAUAAACCUCCUUGAAACAUGGAGUGAAGCAAGUGAGGCAUUCCUCAAGCAGUACAAGUUCAUAAUGGAUAUUACCCCUUCUCGUGAAGAUCUUGAGCGCACGGAAAAGAAAAAGCAUGAAUCUUUCAAAGAAUAUGCUAUUAGAUGGAGGAAUCUAGCCGCCCAGAUCAGUCCCGAGCCAACUGAUUUUGAACUAAGAAAAAUGUUCAUCAAAACCCUAUCUUAUGAAUAUCGCAACCGAAUGGUGACUACGAUCGCUAAAUCAUUCAAUCAACUCAUUCCAGUAGGAGAGCAGAUUGAGAUAGGGUUAAGGGAGGGUUGGUUCACUGAGCCUGCACCUGUCAGCAAAAGGCUCAACCUGAAAAAAGACAAAGAACCCCUGAUAGAUGUCAAUGCAACCUACACUGCAAAUACCAGUCACCUCCCGACCGUUCAGACAAGCACAGGCCAACAACAGACCACUAGUCGUCAACCACCCCAGCGCUACAACAACAGAAGACAAUUCACUCCACUUCCUGGAUCUCUAUCACAGGUUUUGGCAAUCCUCCGGAACAAGAGCCUCCUCUCAAUUGAGCCAAAACGACCCAACGCUGAAAGCUUCUCCAGCUAUGACCCGUCCAAAAAAUGUGACUAUCACAUGGGAGAAGUAGGCCACUCAACUGAUGAGUGUUUCAUCCUUAAGCAUCGGAUCCAGAACUUGCUGGAUACUAAGGCUUUCUCAUUCCAAACUACAAAGCCGAAUGUCCAAAGCAAUCCACUCCCUGAUCACGCUGACAAAGUAAACAUGAUAUUCAGUUCUGAAGCCAGUCAAAUCAAAAAUGUCAAUGCACAUAUGGCUGACAUCUAUCGAGGGCUAAUAGAAACCGGGUAUUAUCCAGAUGAUGAAAUACCACCCUUUGCAAUAAUGGAGGAAAGGGUAUUAAGAAUGAUAGAGGCCGGAAUAAUUGUGUACGCUGGCCACACCGGCAUGGUCUCUACCAUAUCGCAAGUCGUCAUCAAUUGGGAUGAAGAAUUUGCCACACUAAACGCAAAGAGGGAGAAGAAGGAUUCCACCCCACCUGAGAGCGUCUUUGAAGGGAAAUGAGCCAUAGUUCAAGCAUCGACAGCAGAAGCAGCUAUAGUCAUUGAGAUCCCCCAGCCCUACAAAUACGAAGGCAACAAUGCAGUACCAUGGUCCUACAACCUUGAUGUUGGCUUAGUCACGAGAUCUGGACGAACCUAUGCUCAAGCCAAUACGCAGCCUGCCAAACCCGUCACUGACGAAGAAGCCAAGGAGUUUUUGGCCGUAGUUAAAGCCAGCGAGUACAAUGUGGUGGAACAAUUACGGAAAUCACCAGCACAGAUCUCUUUGCUGGAAUUACUUCAGACAUCUGUCAAGCACCAGAAAUCCCUCAUGAAGGUACUAAGUGAAGUACAUGUUCCUGAAACGAUUGAACACGACAAACUUGAGGAGUUUGUCAGUACCAUCCUUCUAAAAGAUCAAAUGGCAUUUUCUGAUGAAGAGAUCCCCGANNNNNNNNNNNNNNNNNNNNNNNNNNNNNNNNNNNNNNNNNNNNNNNNNNNNNNNNNNNNNNNNNNNNNNNNNNNNNNNNNNNNNNNNNNNNNNNNNNNNNNNNNNNNNNNNNNNNNNNNNNNNNNNNNNNNNNNNNNNNNNNNNNNNNNNNNNNNNNNNNNNNNNNNNNNNNNNNNNNNNNNNNNNNNNNNNNNNNNNNNNNNNNNNNNNNNNNNNNNNNNNNNNNNNNNNNNNNNNNNNNNNNNNNNNNNNNNNNNNNNNNNNNNNNNNNNNNNNNNNNNNNNNNNNNNNNNNNNNNNNNNNNNNNNNNNNNNNNNNNNNNNNNNNNNNNNNNNNNNNNNNNNNNNNNNNNNNUUCGUGAUUGAAGGAAACUGAUCACGAUCCGCGGAGAAGAAGAUCACCGCAUCUACCAUGAGACAGCCAUCCCUUAUGUUGAACCUGGUGACAAAAAUGAAUCCAGCUAUCAAUCAUUCGAGCUUGUGUCUACUAUACACGAAACUCGAGGGACUCCACCCCAUGUCCCCGAAAUAUCAAGCACUGCGAUCAUGGUAGGGAAAAUCAUGACUGGAUACGGUUUUAUUCCGGGUCAAGGGCUCGGCAGGGGAAACCAAGGCAUCCGCGAGCCUAUCAAAGCCUUGAGGAGACCUCACACCAUCGGUUUAGGAUAUCAAGAGCAGUACUGUGAAGGAAAAGCAAAAAAGAAGACCGGUCUUGUAUACCCUCGCCUUGAGGAAACCUUCCCAGGCCCUGCGAAGAUGAUGCAUGAGGAAGAAGAAAUGAUCGGCGUUCCAAAACAAUUCAACCAUGAAAGCAUGAAGUUUCCCAUUUACCUGGGCAUGGGUCAGAAGAGCAUAACUCAGCCCGUACCUACAAAGAAAGAAGGGCCAGAUGACGUGACUACCAUGUUUGGGGACCUUUUCGUAGGUGCCAUUAAGGAGGAACAGCUAGAAGAAGCAGGCGAUAGCUUCUCGUUGACCCAGCUUCAGUGUCAAGUCGAUGAACUACGCGAUAGCAUAUACCACUUGACAUAAAGUUUUGUUCAAGCUGCCCGUACAUUCCGCUCUCGUCACAAUGAGGAGUUGGUGGUGGGAGCCGGGCGCGUGACCCGGUGCUCUAGGGUUUCGGCGGUGGGAGCCGGGUCGUGAGGUCGGGUCGGAUCCGGGUAGGGUUUCUAGGACCGGGUCGCGGCUUGUAAUCUGGGUCGGCAGCUGAAGGACGGGUCGGGCGUGGGUUUGAACCGGGUAGGGUUCCGUCUGGGCCAGGUUGUGCGCGUGGGCCGGGUAGUCUUUGGGCCGAGUUUCUUUUAAAGGGUCAAAG